rnacentral:rRNA from 1 species
GAUGAACGCUAGCUACAGGCUUAACACAUGCAAGUCGAGGGGAAACGAUAGAGAAAGCUUGCUUUUUCUAGGCGUCGACCGGCGCACGGGUGAGUAACGCGUAUCCAACCUGCCCACCACUUGGGGAUAACCUUGCGAAAGUAAGACUAAUACCCAAUGACAUCUCUAGAAGACAUCUGAAGGAGAUUAAAGAUUUAUCGGUGAUGGAUGGGGAUGCGUCUGAGUAGCUUGUUGGCGGGGGAACGGCCCACCAAGGCGACGAUCAGUAGGGGUUCUGAGAGGAAGGUCCCCCACAUUGGAACUGAGACACGGUCCAAACUCCUACGGGAGGCAGCAGUGAGGAAUAUUGGUCAAUGGGCGAGAGCCUGAACCAGCCAAGUAGCGUGCAGGAUGACGGCCCUAUGGGUUGUAAACUGCUUUUAUAAGGGAAUAAAGUGAGCCUCGUGAGGCUUUUUGCAUGUACCUUAUGAAUAAGGACCGGCUAAUUCCGUGCCAGCCGCCGCGGUAA